UACGUAGGGUGCAAGCGUUGUCCGGAAUUAUUGGGCGUAAAGAGCUCGUAGGCGGUCUGUUGCGUCGACGGUGAAAUCCCCCCGCUCAACGGGGGGCCGGCCGUCGAUACGGGCAGACUUGAGUGCGGUAGGGGAGACUGGAAUUCCUGGUGUAGCGGUGAAAUGCGCAGAUAUCAGGAGGAACACCGGUGGCGAAGGCGGGUCUCUGGGCCGACACUGACGCUGAGGAGCGAAAGCGUGGGGAGCAAACAGG
rnacentral:rRNA from 1 species